CUUUCUCCGCCGGCGACCGGCGCACGGGUGAGUAACACGUAUGCAACCUGCCCCUGUCUGGGGGACAACCCGCCGAAAGGCGGGCUAAACCCGCGUACAUGCCACCGGGGCAUCCCGGAGGCAGGAAAGGCUUCGGCCGGACAGGGAUGGGCAUGCGGCGCAUUAGGCAGUAGGCGGGGUAACGGCCCACCUAACCGACGAUGCGUAGGGGUUCUGAGAGGAAGGUCCCCCACACUGGUACUGAGACACGGACCAGACUCCUACGGAAGGCAGCAG
rnacentral:rRNA from 1 species